rnacentral:tRNA from 1 species
GUGAGUAUAGCUCAGUGGUAGAGUGCAUGCUUAGCAUGCACGAGGUCCUGGGUUCAAUCCCCAGUACCUCCA